ACUGUCCGAAUAAUAAUCCAUGGCGCCCUCCUUGUUAAACCCAGUAGAGUACGUAUGUGCAUUUAUUACACAUGUAGAUCUUUUAAGAGGAUUUUGUAACCAUUGUCGUCAAUUUUCUGGGCAAGGUUUUCGUUACAACCUCAAAAAUAAUGCAGCUCAAGAUGUUCUCAGAAUGUUCUGAAAAGGGAAAGAAUCAUCAGCAGUUCUUUCGGUUUUUCUUGAGAUGAGGCACGUAUCUUACAUAUCAAGGCAGUUGAUUCCAUAAAACCAAUAAGGUAGUCGGGGAGUGAUGAUCACCACGAUCUGUCCUCGUCCACCAAUGUUGACACUGCAGUCAAGAAAGCACAGUAAAGCCUCUACCUCCUCUGGAGGCUAAGGAAAUUCAGUGUGUCCAUACAUUUUUUUUAAACCCACCAAAGAAAGCAUUCUAUCUGGAUGCACCACAGCAUGGUAUGGCAAAAAGACCAGAAGAAAUGACAGAGAGUUGUGAACACAUGCAAACUGACCUCCCAUCCAUUGACUUCAUCUAUUCUUCCAGCUGCCUCCGGAAAGCAACCAACAUAACUCAUGUCAACUCCAGCCUCCCAGUCUACCUUCAUCCCUUGCAAUUUACCUACCAGUGCAACAGGUUCAUAGCAGGUGUAAUUUUCUGGCCCAAUACACAUCCCUGGAACAUCUGGGCAUUAAUAAUACCCACGUCAGCCAUCUACCUAUUGACUGCAGCUCCGCCCUCAACACUACAAUCCCAAACAAGCUAAUCUCCAAACUCUGAUACCUGGGUCUCUGCUCCACCCUCUGCAACUGGAUCCUCGAUUUCCUGACCAACAGAUUGCAAUCAGUGAGAAUGGGCAACAGCACAUGCUCCACGACAAUCCUCAACACUGGUGACCAGCAAGGAUGCAUACUCAGCCCUUAUUGCACACUUGUACACUCAUGACUGCAGGCCAAAUUUCCUCCAAAUUCUACCUACUGGUUCAUUGACUAUUGUAGGCUGGAUAUCAAACACUGAUGAGAUAGAAUACAAGAAAGAGAUAGAGUGCUUGGUGGUGUGUAAAGAUAACAAUCCCUCCCUCGAUGUCAGCAAAAGUAAAGAGCUGAUCAUCAAUUUCAGGAAGAAAGGAGGAAGACACACCCCUAUCUACACCAAUGGAGCCAAGGUGGAGUUGGUCAAGAGCAUCAGGUUCCGAGGAGCAAUGAUCAUCAACAAUCUAUCCUGGACCACCCACGUGAAUGUGAUGGACAAGAAGGUAUAACAAUACAUCUUCUUCCUCAGGAAGCUUAGGAAAUUUUGGCAGGUCCGCUAAGACUCUCAUCAGCUUUUAUAGAUGCACCAUUGAAAGUAUUCCAUCUGGAAGCAUCAUGUCAUAGGAUGGCAAUUGCUUCACCCAGGACUGUAAGCAACAACAGAAAGUUGUGAGCACAGCCCAGACCAUCACGCAAGCCAACCUUCCCUCCAUUGACUUCCUCUACACUUCUCAAUGCUUCAAAAAGGCAGGCAACAUCAAAGUCCCCUUGCGCCCCAGUUAUACUGUCUUCCAAUCUCUUCUGUCAGGCAGAAGAUAUGAAAGCUUAAACACACAUGCCAACAGGUUCAAGAACAGAUUCUUCCUCACUGAUCUGAGACUUCUGAAUGCACCUCCCAAAUUUCAAAUCUCAUGUUGAUCGUCCUUUUUGUGCACUUCCUUUGCAGCUGUAAUUUUGUAUUCCUCUCUCUGCUCAAUCACCCUGUGAUCUUUGUAUGGUAUGAUCUGCCCGUACUGCAUGCAAAACAAAACUUUUCACUGUAUCUAGGUACAUAUGACAAUAAUAAAUCAAAUCAAAUCAACAAAAUCAAAGGCCCCUCUCACCCCAGUUAUACUCUCUUGCACCGUUGUCCAUCAGGCAAAAAACACAAAAGUUAGUAUACGAGUACAAACAGAUUCAAGAACAGAUUCUUCCCUGCUGUUAUCAGACUUUUGAAUGGACCUGUUUAAUGUUAACAUCGAUCUUUCUCUGCACCUUCUUGGCAGCUGUAACAUUGUAUUCAGCACUCCGUUCUGUUACCCUGAUAUGAUUGUAUAGUACAAUCUUCCUACAAUACAUGUAAGUCAACACUUUUCGCUGUAUCUCGGUAACAAUAAAAUCAAAUAAAUCAAAACAACAAUUUUGGUGGGAUACAUUUUGACAUUUUUGUUGGCAAAUUUCUGCUGCUAGAUUGCCCGCAUUACAAUCUUGAAAAUGGUGACUUCCGCCACAUCUGUGUUAUGCAGAAUAAGGAAGAAUGUGAGGUGUGGCAGUGAGCAUCAAAAUUAUUUAAUAGCCUGCAAACCUGGAUCUACAACCUCUCUCCUGGAAAUAUAAAGAAGGAUCUUUGUUGUAUCAUUCCUUCAGGACACAUGCAACAUCAGAGUGGAACUUGAUUUCUAGACAAUUCUUACACCUUGCAUGAUGCUUAGCACAUCCUCCAAUAAACGAUGAACUACAAAUAUGUACUAAUUCUGGCCCUCUUGCUUUGAGCCAGCUCCAAAUGAGACAAACCUUGGCAAUCCCUUCAGACUGAACUGACUAGCUUUGGGGAAGAAUUUUGUUCAUUACUUUCACACUUUAAAAACAGGUCACUUAACUAAUGAUUGCUGACAUCAGCUUGGUGGUUCUUUGUAUAUGAAAGACAAUUAAUACACCAUUAAAACCAGCAUAGAUAUCAUUCAUAGACAUAUAUCUUGAUCCUAUCAACAAAUUCCACGGGAUACAACACUUUCCUAAAUAUAUUGGCUUUGUGCUAGACGAGUCGAGGAGAAAUUUCUUCAUCCUGGUGAGUAGGGAGGCUCUGGCAUUCUCUGCCAUAGAAAGUGGUUGAGGCCCAAAUAUUGAAUGCAUCCAAGGAGUUAGAUGUAGUUCUUAGGGCUAAAGGAAUCAAAGAUUACAUGAACGUUGGAACAGGGGGCUGAGUUGGAUGUUCAGCUAUGAUCAUGUUGAAUGGUGAAGUAGGCUUAACGGG